rnacentral:rRNA from 1 species
UACGUAGGGUGCAAGCGUUGUCCGGAAUUAUUGGGCGUAAAGAGCUCGUAGGCGGUCUGUCGCGUCGGCUGUGAAAACCCGGGGCUCAACCCCGGGCCUGCAGUCGAUACGGGCAGACUAGAGUGCGGUAGGGGAGACUGGAAUUCCUGGUGUAGCGGUGAAAUGCGCAGAUAUCAGGAAGAACACCCGUGGCGAAGGCGGCCAUCUGGACCAGCACUGACACUGAGGCACGAAAGCGUGGGGAGCAAACAGG